AAACCAUGAUGAGGGAAAUCUCUCUCAUAUUCUUUAAAUCGCUCCCAGGCUUCAUAGAAUGACUAUAUUGGGCCUUGUUGGAAACUUUGUAUCUUGUUUCUCAGCU
rnacentral:snoRNA from 1 species